UCCUCCAAGGCUAAAUACUCCUGACUGACCGAUAGUGAACCAGUACCGUGAGGGAAAGGCGAAAAGAACCCCGGCGAGGGGAGUGAAAAAGAACCUGAAACCGUGUACGUACAAGCAGUGGGAGCACCCUUUGGGGUGUGACUGCGUACCUUUUGUAUAAUGGGUCAGCGACUUAUAUUCUGUAGCAAGGUUAACCGUAUAGGGGAGCCGGAGGGAAACCGAGUCUUAACCGGGCGUUAAGUUGCAGGGUAUAGACCCGAAACCCGGUGAUCUAGCCAUGGGCAGGUUGAAGGUUGGGUAACACUAACUGGAGGACCGAACCGAC
rnacentral:rRNA from 1 species